rnacentral:rRNA from 1 species
UACCAGCACCCCGAGUGGUCGGGACGAUUAUUGGGCCUAAAGCAUCCGUAGCCGGUUUUACAAGUCCUCCGUUAAAUCCAACUGCUUAACAGAUGGGCCGCGGAGGAUACUAUAAGACUAGGAGGCAGGAGAGGCAAGCGGUACUCAGUGGGUAGGGGUAAAAUCCGUUGAUCCAUUGAAGACCACCAGUAGCGAAGGCGGCUUGCCAGAAUGCGCUCGACGGUGAGGGAUGAAAGCUGGGGGAGCAAACCGG